rnacentral:lncRNA from 1 species
CUCACUUGUAGAAAGCUCUUCAAACUUCUUAACUUCAUCUGCAUUGUUUUGUGCAAAAGUGAGCAAACAAUUGCCCACAAGAAGAAUAAUAUACAAUAACGGUUUAUGAAUGAUAAUUAAUUGAGUUUUCAAUUAUAAAGUAUUCUUACCGGAACAAUAAAAUUUAAUUCAACAACUAUGAGUUCAAAGGAAUAAUGAACAUUAAAUUAACAAUAGAUAUCAACAUCAAAGAAUACACUGAGG